rnacentral:lncRNA from 1 species
ACCAUUUGAUACCAUCUGUUUCUCACACACAUCCAUGAGGGAAGAAUCAUUCCCAUUUAACAGACAAUGUAACUGGGCCUGAAUAUAGCUCAGCGACUUGCCCCAGGCCCACCAGGAAGUGGAUAAAGCCAUGCUCAACCCAGCACUUCUUCUCUCUACCUUCCACCGAUCCUGCCUGCUCAUCUUCCCUCCUUGGUGAAGGCAUGUGUGCUGUGCUCUGCUUAACUAAUUUCCCUCAGAUAUUCGCAUUUCUGUCUUUACAAUUUGGCAUCCCAGUGAGGUUUCCCUUUGUAUAUUUUCCGGUUCCUAUAUUCCCAUUAUUCAGGUAUCAUCACUCAAUAACCAUUUGACAGCAGUAAUGCUUUUCACAUGGAAAGAAUUGGGUUUUUAUUGAUGGCAAAUGUUGUGAUGAACUUUCAUGCCCACUUGGAGCCGGAGCACUUUUUUAUAGAAUGAACCACAAUGAGAAGCGUUUCCAAGAAAUGUCUUUGGAGUGUGGACUGAGAUGUACGUUUAGGAACAGGUCCUGUGGCCAGAGUGGGGAGAGAGGGGGCUUCCCAUUGUCAAAAUCUCAUCAAUCAAAAUGUAUAAUAGCAACAUUAUUAAUAACCCUAUAGUUGCAUUGCACUUGGUGCUCUUCCAAGCACUUCCCUAGAAUCCUAAAAUGAAGGCAGGGCAGAUAUUAUAUCCAUGUUACAGGUUAAACAACAUUGUAACAGGACUGAUAACACCAUGAAUGAGAAGUCAUUUGAUCAAUGGCCAAGGCAAUCCCCCCAGCCUGAGCUACUUCCCAGACCAGACCACAGAAGCAAGGCCAUGCUCACCGAGGACCCCACUUGUGGACUAGACUUCUGUCCUGCUGUGGCCUCAAAAGCAAUAGCCAGGGCCCCAUGAUGAAGCUGCCAUCAGAAGCACAGGUGUGCCUGGCAAGGACACAGGAGGACCACGGCUCCAUGCCGAUGAGAAUGGCAGCUAAGUCUGAAGCUUUCUAUGAUUUAGAUUCCUGGUUGCGAGAGGGAGCCUAUAGGAAUGGCGAGAAGAGUGAGAACUUUGCAGAGGCAGCAAGUGGCUAUGGGCUCAGAUCCUCUCUUACUUCAAGGGAUCUGGGCUGGAUGCUUGGGCGCGAGAGAGAAGAAUGGCUCUCAACUGGGCGGGGAAGAGUAGCCCGCAAGGAGGCAGCGGCUCCAGGAUGGGAAGUGAGGAUGCCAAAAAAGCAUCCCUAGGAAGGUUCCUGCCUUUCCACGAGGCUAUGGGGCUUUGAAGGUGGCUAGGACAUCAUGUUAAUGAAGUCAAGACUAUGGCCCCAUCUCUAGAGGCCAAAGCUUGAAACAGCAAAUAGAAAGACCUUUCCAAGCCACUACCCUUAGCAUUGAUGGCAAGGGUCUGGGUGAGAAAAUCCCUCUUGUCCACUAAACGGAAAUCAACUUGAAGCAUGUUGCCAACAGAUAUAUCAGCUUUCUCCAGGAAGAAAUGGCACUGAUGCUCCUAGACUGGAUUUCUCAUCCUCUAAGUCAGGCCUGGCCUUGGAAGCAAAGCCCCCAGGAAUGACUGGAAGACAACACUCUGCAGACCCCUUCCACAGGGUACCCCUGCUCUCCAGGAAGGGCCUUCAGGGCAGCAUUUGGAGGUGGCAUGAGCUAGCAGCGGCGUGCAGCCUGGUCACUGUCUGAUCUGGUCAGCCCAGCCGCACAGAACACCACACAGGCUCUGGCAGCUCCCUGGGAAAGAAGAAAGCAGCAUCUUGCAUGUGUGGCUUAUUCUGAAAGGAAUAGUAUCUGAGGGAUUUGAUGGACUCUGACAGGGGGAAGAAGGUAGUGAAAAAGAUGGAACAAAGAUGCCAUUUAAAAAUACUGGCUCGUGUUCAGGAUUUCGCUAUUUUUUACUGCAAGGAACAAGUAAAAAAAAAAAUCCUCCUAUUGAUGAGUAUUUUUCUACAGUCAUUAAAAGUCAAAGGACUCAGGGCUUCCGACUUUCCCUCUUGGGAAACCUGUAAGCUCGUCUUCUGGACAGCUUAGAAAAGGGCUGGAUGGCGAAGGCGAGAGGCUUAAAGGCCCCCAGCAAGCAGCUCCGCCGAGGAACGGGUGCAGGGGACACACUGUGUUUUCAGUUCAGAUUCUGUGAUCUUUCUGCCAAACAGGGGUUUACAAAGCAAAAACCUCCAGAGAAUUCUCAUACUUUCUGGCUUAUUCUCCUGGUGUUCGUCUUAACAGGAAUCAGCUGUUUGCCUUCUCACUUAUACAGCAUGUUGCUGAGGCGAAUUUAGCAUCUGGCCUGGCUAUUAUUAAAAACAAGAACAUCCUGCUCUGUUGGGAGAACAGCACCACUGGCAAUAAAAGGACAGAGAUCAUUUGCAUUCAGGAUUCCAGAGAUGUGUUUCAGUUCAAUAUCUGCGCUCCCUCCUUCCACCCCUGCUUUCAUUUUAAGAUUUCCUGAUGCAUCCAUCACUUGCAGCGUGGUCAACUUUUUUUCUGAAACAGGCACACACAGGCAGAGCAUAUUUUUUCCUUUCACUGGGAGGCAGGAAUGACUGGAGUUGUUCAAACACCGGUCCGUUCCUGCAAUUCCUAUGAUAAAGUUGAACUACCAGAGGAAUUUUUUUUUUUUUUUUUACAACUGCGGAAAUGAAAAAGUAAACAAGACUGGGACUGCAUUGGUAUUUAGGCUCCAGCUUUUUGUUGUUGUUUUUGUCUUUCCCUUUUUUUAAGCCAUUGGGCUAGGAGCCUGAAGGGACCAUAUAAUAUGAAAAACGCUGAGAGGUUUUAUUAGCCAAUAAAAAAAAAAACUGAGUUCCUAUUAACCACUUAACUCCUUGCUGAAGUUCAAACUUGCUUUCUCCUUGGAUCCUUCUCUCCCUCUCAUGCCCACGAGGAAUGACGGUUGGUUCACCAAUCUUUCCCUGCACAACCUGAGCUCACAGUUUGUGCUCCAGAAGGUGUGGUUGAGAAUCGUAUUCAAUAAUAAUCUCUGUAUUUCUCAUCUGUGAAGCCAUAAAUAAGAUUUCUGUAAGGAGCCAAAUGUUCUACGCCCCCAAAUCUACACACACAAAGACUCUUUAAGCACUCUACUAAAAAAGAGUAAAGUCAUUGUGAUUUCUAGGAUUUUAAAUACUAAAUGAUGGUUAGGGAGAACAAAAUCAGGCUGAAGCAUUUCUGGGAUAAAUAAUGAUCCCACAAAACGCUCCUCUCAUUUGGGGGCAGAAGAAUGAAGGGAAACUCACAGAGAAACAGAAAAUGAAAUUGGUCCAACUAUUUCACUGCUGGAGAUAGAUGGAGUUAGGAUACAUAGGUGACUUGGUUUAGGAAAGAGAGGAUGUCGAAGGUGAUUUAAAUCCUAACACUGUUUUAUUAAUCGUGCCACAAUUCUACAUGUCAUGUGAUUUUGUUAUCUGCUUUUUGCUGCUUUUAAAUAAAUUUGUACUUUUCUAUCAAUCCAUCAUCCAAUUGUGUUUCGGGUGUUCUUGGCAUUCCCAUCUCUCAAAAACACCCUUAGUUUCUGCCA